GACGAACGCUGGCGGCGUGCCUAAUACAUGCAAGUCGAACGCUGAAGCGAGGAGCUUGCUCUUCUUGGAUGAGUUGCGAACGGGUGAGUAACGCGUAGGUAACCUGCCUUGUAGCGGGGGAUAACUAUUGGAAACGAUAGCUAAUACCGCAUAACAAUGGCUGACACAUGUCAUUUAUUUGAAAGGGGCAAUUGCUCCACUACAAGAUGGACCUGCGUUGUAUUAGCUAGUAGGUGAGGUAACGGCUCACCUAGGCGACGAUACAUAGCCGACCUGAGAGGGUGAUCGGCCACACUGGGACUGAGACACGGCCCAGACUCCUACGGGGGGCAGCAGUAGGGAAUCUUCGGCAAAGGGGGCAAACCUGACCGAGCAACGCCGCGUGAGGGAAGAAGGGUUUCGGAUCGUAAAGCUCGGUUGUAAGUCAAGAACGAGUGUGAGAGUGAAAAGUUCACACUGUGACGGUAGCUUAACAGAAAGGGACGGCUAACUACGUG
rnacentral:rRNA from 1 species